rnacentral:rRNA from 1 species
GAUCAUGGCUCAGGACGAACGCUGGCGGCGCGCCUAACACAUGCAAGCCGAACGAGAGAGAGGGAGCUUGCUUCCUCAAUCGAGUGGCGAACGGGUGAGUAACGCGUGAGGAACCUGCCUCAAAGAGGGGGACAACAGUUGGAAACGACUGCUAAUACCGCAUAAGCCCACAGCUCGGCAUCGAGCAGAGGGAAAAGGAGCAAUCCGCUUUGAGAUGGCCUCGCGUCCGAUUAG